rnacentral:tRNA from 1 species
CGGGGCGUGGCUCAGCUUGGUAGAGCGCCUGGUUCGGGACCAGGAGGCCGGAGGUUCGAAUCCUCUCGCCCCGACCA